rnacentral:rRNA from 1 species
GCUCUGUUGUUAGGGAAGAACAAGUGCCGUUCAAAUAGGGCGGCACCUUGACGGUACCUAACCAGAAAGCCACGGCUAACUACGUGCCAGCAGCCGCGGUAAUACGUAGGUGGCAAGCGUUGUCCGGAAUUAUUGGGCGUAAAGGGCUCGCAGGCGGUUUCUUAAGUCUGAUGUGAAAGCCCCCGGCUCAACCGGGGAGGGUCAUUGGAAACUGGGGAACUUGAGUGCAGAAGAGGAGAGUGGAAUUCCACGUGUAGCGGUGAAAUGCGUAGAGAUGUGGAGGAACACCAGUGGCGAAGGCGACUCUCUGGUCUGUAACUGACGCUGAGGAGCGAAAGCGUGGGGGAGCGAACAGGAUUAGAUACCCUGGUAGUCCACGCCGUAAACGAUGAGUGCUAAGUGUUAGGGGGUUUCCGCCCCCUUAGUGCUGCAGCUAACGCAUUAAGCACUCCGCCUGGGGAGUACGGUCGCAAGACUGAAACUCAAAGGAAUUGACGGGGGCCCGCACAAGCGGUGGAGCAUGUGGUUUAAUUCGAAGCAACGCGAAGAACCUUACCAGGUCUUGACAUCCUCUGACAAUCCUAGAGAUAGGACGUCCCCUUCGGGGGCAGAGUGACAGGUGGUGCAUGG